rnacentral:rRNA from 1 species
UACGGAGGGUGCAAGCGUUAUCCGGAUUCACUGGGUUUAAAGGGGGCGUAGGAGGGCAGGUAAGUCAGUGGUGAAAUCUCCGGGCUUAACUCGGAAACUGCCGUUGAUACUAUCUGUCUUGAAUGCCGUGGAGAUGAGCGGAAUAUGUCAUGUAGCGGUGAAAUGCUUAGAUAUGACAUAGAACACCAAUUGCGAAGGCAGCUCGUUACACGAACAUUGACUCUGAGGCUCGAAAGCGUGGGGAUCAAACAGG